rnacentral:antisense_RNA from 1 species
UGUAGCCUAACAAAGGAAAAGGAUUGAGAGUGGGACUCACAGUACGUACUUCACCUAAAGUAGCAUCAAAAAUACCACCGAAUACAGUAGCUUUUAACACAAACAAGAAAGCACCUACUCCUAAGAAAAUGAGGUGAUGACCGAAAAUAAAGGUUAACUUGUUGCCAUCAGACCA